AUGAUUCCGAUGUUUGAAAGUUAUAGCCGGCCAAACUAGCUGACUUGAGAACCGAUUAUGAAGUUAUGAAGUUUUGAGGAACACCUAUAGUAACAGUUAUAUCACUAUAGGCCCGGUAGUGACAGAUUUGAAUUAUUUUAAAUUUUUUAAUUUCUGGAAAAUUCGAAAAUGAUUAAAAAUAAAAUGGUUGAUAUUUACAGAUGUUGAGGUAUAGGAUACGAGUCUUAGACUCAGUAUUUACCCGAUAAAGCUGUCGGUACGCCGACAAAUGUCAGACCCUAUAAUAGAAAGAAAAG
rnacentral:lncRNA from 1 species